ensembl:snRNA U6 U6 spliceosomal RNA
GUGCUUGCUUCAGCAGCACAUAUACUUAAAUUGGGAUGAUACAGAGAUUAGCGUGGCCUCUGCACAAGGAUGACAGGCAAAUUCGUGAAGCGUUCCAAAUUUUU